rnacentral:rRNA from 1 species
GACGAACGCUGGCGGCGUGCUUAACACAUGCAAGUCGUACGGUAAGGCCCUUUCGGGGGUACACGAGUGGUGAACGGGUGAGUAACACGUGAGUAACCUGCCCACAACUUUGGGAUAACGCUAGGAAACUGGUGCUAAUACUGGAUAUGUGCUCCUGCUGCAUGGUGGGGGUUGGAAAGCUCCGGCGGUUGUGGAUGGACUCGCGGCCUAUCAGCUUGUUGGUGGGGUAGUGGCCUACCAAGGCGGCGACGGGUAGCCGGCCUGAGAGGGUGACCGGCCACAUUGGGACUGAGAUACGGCCCAGACUCCUACGGGAGGCAGCAGUGGGGAAUAUUGCACAAUGGGCGCAAGCCUGAUGCAGCAACGCCGCGUGCGGGAUGACGGCCUUCGGGUUGUAAACCGCUUUCAGCAGGGACGAAGCUUUUUGUGACGGUACCUGCAGAAGAAGCACCGGCUAACUACGUG